rnacentral:rRNA from 1 species
AGAAUCAACGCUGGCGGCGUGCCUCAGACAUGCAAGUCGAACGAUUAAACUUUCCUUCGGGAAAGAUAUAAAGUAGCGCACGGGUGAGUAACACGUAGGUAAUCUACCUUUGAGUGGGGAAUAACAAUCGGAAACGAUUGCUAAUACCGCAUAAUGCAGCGGCACCGCAAGGUGACAGUUGUUAAAGGAGCAAUCCGCUUAAAAGAGGAGCCUGCGGCAGAUUAGCUAGUUGGUAAGGUAAUGGCUUACCAAGGCUACGAUCUGUAACCGACCUGAGAGGGUGGUCGGUCACACUGACACUGAAUAACGGGUCAGACUCCUACGGGAGGCAGCAGUCGGGAAUUUUGGGCAAUGGGCGAAAGCCUGACCCAGCAACGCCGCGUGAAGGACGAAGUCUUUCGGGAUGUAAACUUCGUAAGAAUAGGAAGAAUAAAUGACGGUACUAUUUGUAAGGUCCGGCUAACUACGUGCCAGCAGCCGC